CAGUCGCCACGGUAAUACGAAGGGGGCUAGCGUUGCUCGGAAUUACUGGGCGUAAAGGGAGCGUAGGCGGAUCGUUAAGUUGGGGGUGAAAGCCCGGGGCUCAACCUCGGAACUGCCUUCAAUACUGGCGAUCUUGAGUAUGAGAGAGGUGUGUGGAACUCCGAGUGUAGAGGUGAAAUUCGUAGAUAUUCGGAAGAACACCAGUGGCGAAGGCGACACACUGGCUCAUUACUGACGCUGAGGCUCGAAAGCGUGGGGAGCAAACAGGAUUAGAUACCCCUGUAGUCCCUGUCUCUUAUAC
rnacentral:rRNA from 1 species